rnacentral:lncRNA from 1 species
CCGUGUCCCCACAGGAAGAGCUGGGGCAGGUGGCGGCAGUGGGCCCUUCCACCCAGGGCACGGACUGCUCGCCUGGGGGGCCCCAACGCCCUCCAAAGAGAAGGGCCAGCAGCUGCCCCCCAGAUUUGCCCCCGUCCCCCAAGAGGCAGCGCUAGGCCGGCACCCACUGCAGUGCUGAGCACGAAUCUGGGGCUGGGAGACCAACAGCAACCUUGGUGCCCCAAAGGCAAAACUCACAACCAAUUCCCCCAGAUAUCAACACGGAUUUUCCACUCACCAGCAUCAAGACUUCCAGUCGCUGCAGUCCAGCCCAUGACGGGGGGAAUGGCUCCGACGACGGCUCCCACCCAAGUGUUGGCGAUGCUCAUUCUCUUCAUGGGUGUGUAACAGCAGGUGUACAGGAAGAUGUUGAACGCUCCGAGGGCGCCGGUGAGGGGGUUGACCCCCAUGGUCAGCAGGGCGAUGCCCGGCACACCACAAGAUGCUGCGAAGCAUACAGCAAGCAGGGGGCUGCGGGAGGAGAGCAGGAUCUGCAUUAGAGAAUGAACACUGCCUCCCCCCUUUGCACUUCUUCCUACUCCCCUAGAAAGCUAACAUUGGAUUUUUGUUAUUUUUUAUGGAUUUUUGUUACUCGAGAUUUUCACAUCUGGCACCAUUGUAAGGCAAGCCUUUCUAGAAAGUUAAGACUAGCUUUGUAGACUCAUAGAACCAUAGAACGGAUGGGUUGGAGGGGACCUUAAAGCCCACCCAGUUCCAACCCUCUGCCCUGGGCUGGUUGCCCCCCACUAGACCAGGCGGCCACAGAUUUGCCAUGAGAGGUUAUUCUUAUACUCCUCACUGCUGUGUUUGCCAAAUAAGUUUAAGCUAUGGAGGUCAAUGCAGUCGGUGCUUCCAGCAGAUCAUUUUCUUUUAUUGUAAUCUUAGUAAAUUUUGACCUCUGGAAAUGGCACUCAGUGUUCAGAGUGAGCGAGUAUGGCUGUAGCCUGCCAGAAUUGUAACUGAUUGCAAUUUUCUGAGGGGCUCUUUGGCUGAAAUACAACAGAGUUAGACACAAAAUGAGGAAGCAUUUAAGAGGAAAAGAGCACAUUCAAUCAUUUUGAAAUUAUGCUAACAGAAACAAAGUAAUUUUUGGCUUUACUGAAAAUGACUGAAUUCUCUACAUUGCCAUUUAGCCUACGGACUGUGCUAAGCAGGGGUAGCACAGCAAAGCCAUUCUGGUAACAAACCCAAAAUUAAAUCUUAUCUUCUAAGUGUGGAAUAAACAGAAGAUAUUUCAGGUUUGCCUGAAAGAACCAAAUAGAAAAAAGGUGCUGAUUAUUUCUGCUGUUUUACCAUGCAAGAGCUCUACAAGCUCAGGGAAAGCUGGAAACUCCUGUUAAAAUCUGUAAGAAAGUGGUUGAAGCUGUGUAAACUUCUGCUAAUAAGUUCCACAACAAACAUCCAAACACAACGAACAAGGAUUUUUUGUUUGGCUACCAAAACCACAUUUGCAGGCAGCAAGCACCAUGACGCAACACGGAGCAAGCUUCACUUGUGUUCUUUUGCAUCAGGUCAACACCUUUGCUGCUGGUGGACAUCUCUUUGCAUGCACUUUUUCAGGGGCACCUGGUAAAGUGGGAUGAGAACUAUAUGCCACUAAGAGAAAUAAUCAUGGAAUCAUAGAACGGUUGGGGUUGGAAGGGACCCUUAAAGGCCACGUGGUCCCACCCCCUGCACUGAGCAGGGACACCCACAGCUCCAGCGGUGCUCACAGCCCAUCCCCUGACUGUGGCUGUCUGCAGGGAUGGGGCACCACCGCCUCUCUGAGCAACCUGUGCCACUGCCUCACCACGUUUAGUGUAUAUCCAACCUAAAUGAAACCAUUUCCCUUUUCCCUGUCACAUCAGACCGCUUAAGAGUCUGUCCGCCUUCUUUCUUACAGCCCCCCUUUAGAUACUGAAAGGUGUGGGAGACCUCUGGAAGGGAGAAAAAUGCCAUUAACUGAGCUGCAUUAAAUACACGCUUUCAGUCAUAAGAGCAGAAAAUAAAUGUGCUCGCAGCAAAUGUCUGCGCGUGAACUUUAGCUUUACGCUUUUUGUCUCAUUUAAAACUAUGUAGCCUUUGUAUUCUACCAU